UAGGCAUCAGCGCAAUGGAAAAGGAAUGUCGGUAAGCGUUCAAAAAGAAUAGAAGAUGGGUAGUCUUUUUAGUAUGCUGAUAUCAUCGGAAUGCAUAAAGAAUGUUGCUGUGACAAGAUGCUGCGGAUAUCAAUUCCGAAGAACUUUAGCAGCAGAAUAGAAAAUUAAAGAGCAUCAUAGAGAAUGUAGAGACUUCCGAUACAGUGUCAUAUCUGGAGACGUCAACCUCAGCGUAAAGAUGGACUUUUGAGUGAGUGAAUACUUAACUUGGAAUGGCCUUAGAAUAAGCACUGGAAGAAGGAAUGCAGAAGAUGCUCUCAACCUCCUGGUUCCAUGAAGAAGAUUGAACUGGCUCUUCCUCUGUCAAGAUAAAAUUUCCAUUUCCCAAAGAUGUCAGAAGGGAAAGGACAUCAGGUGUAGGCAAG